GGGUUGUGAGGUUAAGCGACUAAGCGUACACGGUGGAUGCCCUGGCAGUCAGAGGCGAUGAAGGACGUGCUAAUCUGCGAUAAGCGCCGGUAAGGUGAUAUGAACCGUUAUAACCGGCGAUUUCCGAAUGGGGAAACCCAGUGUGACUCGUCACACUAUCAUUAACUGAAUCCAUAGGUUAAUGAGGCGAACCGGGGGAACUGAAACAUCUAAGUACCCCGAGGAAAAGAAAUCAACCGAGAUUCCCCCAGUAGCGGCGAGCGAACGGGGAGGAGCCCAGAGCCUGAAUCAGCAUGUGUGUUAGUGGAAGCGUCUGGAAAGGCGCGCGAUACAGGGUGACAGCCCCGUACACAAAAGCGCAUGUGCUGUGAGCUCGAUGAGUAGGGCGGGACACGUGGUAUCCUGUCUGAAUAUGGGGGGACCAUCCUCCAAGGCUAAAUACUCCUGACUGACCGAUAGUGAACCAGUACCGUGAGGGAAAGGCGAAAAGAACCCCGGCGAGGGGAGUGAAAAAGAACCUGAAACCGUGUACGUACAAGCAGUGGGAGCACAGGUUUACCUGUGUGACUGCGUACCUUUUGUAUAAUGGGUCAGCGACUUAUAUUCUGUAGCAAGGUUAACCGAAUAGGGGAGCCGGAGGGAAACCGAGUCUUAAU
rnacentral:rRNA from 1 species